AUUGAACGCUGGCGGCAUGCUUUACACAUGCAAGUCGAACGGCAGCACGGGGGCAACCCUGGUGGCGAGUGGCGAACGGGUGAGUAAUGCAUCGGAACAUGCCCAGUCGUGGGGGAUAACGUAGCGAAAGUUACGCUAAUACCGCAUACGUCCUGAGGGAGAAAGCGGGGGAUCGCAAGACCUCGCGCGAUUGGAGUGGCCGAUGUCAGAUUAGCUAGUUGGUGGGGUAAAGGCCCACCAAGGCGACGAUCUGUAGCGGGUCUGAGAGGAUGAUCCGCCACACUGGGACUGAGACACGGCCCAGACUCCUACGGGAGGCAGCAGUGGGGAAUUUUGGACAAUGGGGGCAACCCUGAUCCAGCCAUGCCGCGUGCGGGAAGAAGGCCUUCGGGUUGUAAACCGCUUUUGUCAGGGAAGAAAUCCCUUGGGAUAAUACCUCGGGGGGAUGACGGUACCUGAAGAAUAAGCACCGGCUAACUACGUGCCAGCCGCCGCCGUAAAAC
rnacentral:rRNA from 1 species